GACGAAGGUGGCUAGCGUUGUUCGGAAUUACUGGGCGUAAAGCGUGCGCAGGCGGUUCCAUAAGACAGAUGUGAAAUCCCCGGGCUCAACCUGGGAACUGCAUUUGUGACUGUGGGGCUAGAGUACGGUAGAGGGGGAUGGAAUUCCGCGUGUAGCAGUGAAAUGCGUAGAUAUGCGGAGGAACACCAAUGGCGAAGGCAAUCCCCUGGACCUGUACUGACGCUCAUGCACGAAAGCGUGGGGAGCAAACAGG
rnacentral:rRNA from 1 species